CAAUAAAAAGCAGGAGCGGAAUAGGGAACCGGCGAGGGAGAGGGAGAGAGAGAAGGGGACCAAAGACCUAGAGCGGUACCUUGGGGGGAGGAGCUGCCUAGAGCGGCCGCCUGCUGGCUGGCGGGACCGCGUCCACCACAGAGCGGGACGGUCAGACGGUACGCGGCCCGCGGCCGUGGACAAGGAAGGUGGCCGCCUGACACUUGCGCGGCACGGUUGUACGUACCGCCUCGUGCAUGGGAUGACCACUUCUCCCUCUGCGACGAGCGGCUCGCCGCACGGAGCCGUGUGGUCUGUGCUCAGAGCGGGCAACGGCCGGGACUGGCCGCCGAAUGUGGAGGUCGAGAGGGCAUGGAUGCCAGUUGGCUUCGGCUCUGGUUCCGCGCAACUAGAGUUAGAAGGACAAGCAAAAGUUAGGCUUCCACGUCCAAAGAAGUACCUAACGGUCAAGCGGCGCAAACUAAAACGCACAGUCUGCUCUCUUUCUUAUCUUUUAUCCUUUUAUUUUGAGCCAAGAUGAUGACUUGGCUAGUUUCAAGUACACCUGCAUUUUCCAGUCAUCCUCUAAACUAAGUCAUCUUCACAGCAGUCUACCAAGAAGGCUGUUCAGGUCUGACCUCAUCAGUCAUAGUCCUGAUGAUCAUAAAACCAUUACCUCGAUAGAUAGAAGAAAGAAACGUCAGAACACAACAAAAGGGAGAGAGCCCUAGGUUUUUCCGUAGGUACUUCUACGAACGAACAUGUGAUCGAUCCUCAUCAGUACGUAACAUCCGCACGUUACGAGACAGACAGAGUUGGACGGUUUCCAAGAGAAGACUACCUACUUGAGUAGUUGUGCUGUCGUGAAAUAUUAGCCACCUAAACACACACCAAACUGGUCAGAGCAAGGGAGGGCGGGCAUAUAGUAACCAUGUUAGAUGUUAGAGCAAGUAAGUGAGAAUAACAAAAGACUUGAAUUUGUAAAAACGCAAAGUAAAGUUGAACGAAAACAAAAAGUGAACAGUACUACGAAAAUCCGUUGAUCUCUCGGUGCAAACGGUGAAGUCUUGGUUACUAAACGAACGUUUUGGGAGAAUAUAAAAACCUCGUCUCCUUCAUUAAUAAAUAAGUCCAAAUCGAAUACUUAAUCGAUCAACGUGCGUAUACGUACGAGCGAAAGACCGAACCCCAUCCAACCGACAAAAUCCCUUACCAUCGUACAAGCAAGCACUGACAUCAAUGCACUAACCGUUCCCGUUUCCUCAUCAAAUGAAUUUUCUUUCAGUUUCCCUCUUUGCUUUAAAAGUUCAUCUGCGCCGUUUCAUGUACUAUAAUCUGUCCAGUCGGGUGAUUUUUAAAGAUCUGAAUAGAUUAGGACGAGGUCCUAGAGUUUUUUCCUUCUAGAGUUAGAAAAUCUUGGAGCAUAUAUAAAACACCACUCGUCGUCUGGGUUGACCCGUUCGACUCGGAUCUGGGUUACGUCCUAUAGUUUGUGUUGAUAUUCGUUCUGGGUCUAUGUCAUAUCCUUCGAAUUCGAAGUAGUCCUUUAUCUGGUGUUGUGAUUUCUAUUGUUUGUUGUUUCUUAAUUUUCCGUAUAAACCCAUUGUAGAAACUUCUUGGUUUUAACAUAUUACGUAUCCAUUGUUUUUAGUGCCUCGAUAGUUACAACGUACCAAGUCUUGCAAAGUACAGACUCACAUCGGUAUACGUUUCCUUUUGUUUUGCCGCCAUGCCGUAACAUAACACAAAUAAUGUUGUUUAGUCACGGACAAUCAGCUGUUCGUGUUACUAAAACCAUUAUUAACUGAAACCUCGUGAACCAACUACGGCUGGUAUAAUAAGGAACGAAGUCUCAGACGUUUACCUUUUGUCUAAGAUACUCUUCAAAAUGUUCGAAAGGGGUCAAUGGUCAUUAUGAACUUUUUGACUUUCGACGACGAUCAGAUUAAAGUACGUUUUGUCAAAAGUUGUGAUUAGAAAAUACGGAAAACAAAUUAUAUUUAAUCCGAUAGGAUUGUUAUGGGACUCGUAGACGUACAACACGUUUUGUUUCUAUAUUUUCAGUACAAUACUUAAUCUUAAUGAUAUUUAGUCAAUCACUUCAGUAGGAGUCUAUAGGUCAAAUUACAUUAUAGUUGAGACUAACUUUUUAUAACAGGUCAUAUUAGAGAGAUCUAUCAACGUAGAUAAUAGUAAUAUGAACGACCGAUACAGGUUUUGUCAUGAGUAUAAAUCUUUGACGAAGUUAUACAUGAACUUUUAUGCAACAUAUACUAGGACUAUGAACCCUCUCUUCAGGACUCGAGGCAGCGGCACAUGCAUCCCAGUUCAAAGAGAGAGAGGCAGACAUGACUGGGGUGACAGUCACCCACCCUCUUUGAGGUAGACACGCCCCGGGUUAACAGUCGCUCGCGCUAUCUAAUUUUACGACUCACGGCACCCUCAAACUUGGCGCUGACCUGCUCAAGCGACCACACUGCGUAGUGCGUACGUGCACGAUUGGUAGACUUGGCUACGAUGAAGAACCUUCUAUAACUCCCAAGAUGAAUAGUUUCUUAACGGAGCACCCGGAAGCACGUAAAGACACAUAAUGAAGUCCCAACUUUCGAAUUUGUGUGUCAUGACUUAUUAAGUAACUGGUCUUCCACGUUAUAUAUGUAAUAUGUGGUUAACCACUCUUUGGUAUACAUCUAGAAAAGAUCUUAUACAUCUUAAAUAUCUUUAUUCCUUAUAUUUAAGAUUUUGCUCAUGUAGUAAUACAUCACGAUGUCAUUUCUCGUUUACGAAUUACUACACGAGGUGGGCUAGGUAUAAUUAAGAGAGUUUGAUUAUAACAAGCCUCCUUCAUGAACUUAAGUGGUAAUCUCCUCUCUUUACGUGUACCAAGUAUAAACUUUAUAUAAGUUAGUUGAUUUUCCUUCAGCUCAAUAUGAACUGCGUUAUUAGUUUGUUCUCCAAUUAAAUAAUGAGACUUGUAAAUCUUAUCGUUUGAUCGUGCUCUUUUAGAUGGUUUUUAAUCAGGUCGGUGUGUUACUUUUAUUUAUACUUGCACUUCUUUAUCAGCUUUCACACGGAAGUGACUUUGUUACUUUAUAUAGAAUGGAUCUUGUGUAAAUCUUUUUCAAAAAAAGUAUACACUGGUAAUAAGACUCAAAGACUGUAGAUUCAUUUCUGAAAAGUACAUACUCUAUUUUACACCAAAGACUGUAGAUUCAUUUCUGAAAUGUACGUACUCUAUUUUACACUGUUCGAUUUCAUUAAUCAGGUUGUUUUACUUUCUUGUAUGUGAUUAUACGUUCUUUAAAGCAACAGACAAAUAGGGUUAGAUUUUCAUUACACGUAGACAAAUCAUGGUGGAUGUUUGUAAUCGAUCCAACCGAUUGUGUGAGCAGGACAUUGGACUCCAGCGUUCAAUCUUUGACACGGUUGGUAAAAAUUUAAGAAGAUGGGCGGUAAAGAAAGCCGUUGGGUACUGUCCAUCCAGGGUGAGUCUGCCUCUAUUCUCACUACUCGCACGAUAUGUUUUAUGCAUGCGCCACUACCCUGAGUCCUGACAAGAAGGUUCAUAGUCCUAGCAUGAUUUCGUGAAAGAUUCAUGCUCCUGAAAAAAUCUGGAUCCGUAGUUCAUAAGUCACUAGUUCUAUUGUACUCAAUCAGACCUAGGAUUUAGAAUGAAUUUAAUUUAGAUUGUACGUAGUAUUUAUUUAAGGGUUGACCUCUGAAAUCCCUCAUAGUAUGUGUUUUACCUCUGAUUAAGACAUGUAUACAUAUCCCGUCAAAUGAUAAUUAAAUCUGAGUUGCUUUGUAAGCAAUUAAAGGAUUAACUACUACCAUCGUAAACUAUCGUAAUUAGACUAAAUUCUAAAAGGUACGUUCACUUAGUAGAUGGUCCUAAAGUUAAUAUGGAACCAAAUGAGAAAGUAAGCGCCUAUAGGCUGGAACGUGGUCGGUGAGCUAUCCGGACAAGACCAGAAGAAACUAAAGAAAUUACAAAGUCAUAGGAAUCGGACGACCUAGAAAUGAUGUGCCUUUACUCGAAGUAGACGGUAAGACAGGUUAAUGGGUUAUCAAAUCACAGUAGAGACAACAAUGUGUACGUCGAUGUAGUUCUAUUUACACUGCUAAGACUUUAACUGUGAAUGUACACAAGUAGUUACACGAAACCUAUGAACGAUUAGGAAUACAGGAUGAUAUGUAAGAAACAUACCUGUAACCUACCAGUAAAGCCACAGAAGAUCUACGCGGAGGAGCAACAAAGACGUCUUUUCUUCUAAAACAUUAGAGUCAGUCCUUGGUCCCUUUUAAGUCUAUUAGAACGCCGCAGUGUCUAGAUGUUCCUUUCGAAAACCAAGAUUGACUUUAUCCCCUAAUCAAGUCUGUUUGUUUCGACGAGAGUCUUCUUAUUUCCGGUCGCGAACUUGACAAGACGUGUACGAUAAAGUGUUCUUAUACUGUUGCGAACGUCAUUUCUCAGGAAGCAAUGGAUGUACGAUGAUAAAGUGUUCGUAUACCGUCGCGACAACGACGUGUACGAUGAAGUGUUCGACCUACGAAGACACGUUAAUGACUCUGAUUCCAAGGCUCUGUUGACUUGGACCGCUGCUGAGAUUGGUAGGUGUGUGUUGCGGUCCUAAAGUUUAGAUGCGCCGUGAUUGGUUACUCGGGACCGCAGGACCGCUGUACCUCCGUAGACCAACGAGGUUUUUUCCUUUGACAUUUCUAAGGCUAUUCGAAGCCAAAGAAUGGCUACUCAAAAGCUCACUCACCGUAUUGCUGCCUUCCGUUAGGUUCGGAACGUAAAGAAUGUCAUGUGGCCACCGGACGCCUGAAACGUCUACGAUAGGGUUUUAAAACGUUUGGGCAGCCCCUAUAACCUGGUGAACCGGUCGCGUCUGGGCUAGAGGGGCCGCCGGUAUUUCCGACGGUAACGCCCCCGGUAGACGCGGCCAAGAAGAAACCUAACAGCCCUCUCUUCCCUGCCAUCCAAGCAUCCGCCGCACGUCCUGCUCACCUCCUCCUAUGAGCGCACGGGGAAUCCAAUUUUGAGUGGGAGACGCAACCAACAUACCCGGUCCGGAAUAGACAAAACCUGCACUACCAAGCUGAAAGUACCAAACAAACCCGCGCUCUCGACAGAAAGCGUAAUUCACUAUCCCGUCGUCGACUAAAAAGAACAGAGGACAUCGUUGACCCGUUCGGGUUAAAUGAAAUUAAUUAUAAAAAUUAUGUAAGUUUAAAAAAGUAGUAAAAAAUUAUGUAUCAGUUGUAAAAACAGAUAUGUGUAAAUUGUAAAGGGUUUACGAACUAAUUGUAAAAAGUUUAUAAACAAGUUGUAGAAAAGUUUACGCACUAAUUCUAAAAAUAUAUGUACUAAUUUUUCUAGCAUUAAAAAAUUAGCCUUAUAGAUGGAUCGUGUCGCGUCGCCUAGUAAAACUGUUUUGACGGCUUACUGAACCGACGGGAAACUAGGGCUAGCGAACUAGGUGUGCCUCAAGCUCCGGGAGGAGGUAGGGGCGAGCUAAGCACACCCUUUGGGUCAACGCGGGAAAGAAGCAGGAGAGAGAGCUGAAGGAGGGGUUAGGGUUUGGUCGUCGGUGACGGAUGCGGCCGCUGGAGCGGCGGAACGCAGCAGGAGGCAGCAACGGGGAUCGUAGAGGGGAGGGGGUGGGAUAGUGGGAUAUACUCCGGGGUUCAGCUCGUCGGUUCAGUCGACUGCCGAUCUAGGUGGUGCCAGCGGCACUAUACACAAUUUUUAUUAAGACAUUAAUCCCCUUUUAGAGGGGAACGGGUUUGGCAGCAACGCCAAACAGGGCGUUGGCUGCAGAGGGAAGCUAGAGGACCUUGGCUGCGGAGGAGCUCCCUAGCAGCACAGAGAAGCCCUGUAUAUUUUCCCCCGGAUAUUGGUAGCUAGUUAGCUAAGCUAGUAAGACUAAGUUUUGUGCAAUAGUACGUGCAUCUUGUUGAUCGCUCUCGCUUUCCGUUGUCUCUUUCCUCUUCUCUCCUUCAUGAGCGGCGGCCACUCUACUGUCCGGAACAGAGGAAGAAGGAAGCAGACUAGGCGCUCCUGCCAGCGGCGAUGGCGGAGGACCUCAACCACCGGUGGCGGCAAAGGCAGCGGCCUACGUUCGGUAGGCAGCUAAGCCGGCGCCGCGGCGACCUGCACCGCGAGGACCGGCGGUGGCGCAGCGACCUGCUCCACGAGGACCGGCGGUGGCGCGGCGACCUGCGCGAGGGGACGAGGGGAGCGGGGACCUGCGUUGGUGCUACCACGAGGGACGCGGGCACCGGUCCGCGGGUACCCCAAGCUGGGGACCGAUCACCGGCCGGGUUCGCGGAGGUACCACGUGUCCCGACGUCGGCGCGGAUGUGGCGGAGGACCUAGAGGCGGAGGUGGUGGAGGAGGCGGCCGGCGCACCGAGCGCGGCAGCUGCGGUUGCGGGCGUCGGCUCCGGCGGCCGGGCGGGCCUAUGACGGGACACGGCUACGCGCGGCAGCACUUGCUCCUCCUCCGCGCCUCUGGCCACGGAGGCCUCACCAGGCGGAACCUCGGCCGUACCUCCCGUGACUGCGGUGGCGGUGCGGAGUCGUCCUCUGCCGACGCCCGAGCUCGUCGGCUCGGCGUGCCGCGAAGCCCGCAGAGAAGACCGCGCGGCAGCGGCGGUAGCUGGCAGCGGGGUCGGCGGCGGGGCCAAGCACCCGAGGCCGCUCGGAGCCUGAGUGGUCGCGGCGUGGUCCUUGACGAGCGGGCCUAGUGUAGCAACAGCUGAGAAGGAGCCUGCUCCUCCCCAACAGCCACGAUGCGGCCACUGGUGGCCUUAGCGUUCCCGGACGCCGCUGGUGAGGAGGGCGGCCGCGGCGGCGCACUAUCACCCCUAGCUCGUCUCCACCACCACGCCCCGAGCCUAUGAGACUGGGAAUAGGCUAGGCGGACGAGGGGGGGACAGAACACGCCACGCCGCCGCUCACCCGGCCGGUUUCCGGCCCGUCCGGGUCCGGGUCCGCGGGCUCCGCCGACAAAGGAGAGGACACGCCACGACACCGCC
rnacentral:rRNA from 1 species